ensembl:misc_RNA Gm22146 predicted gene, 22146
GGAUGUAAGGUAAUGUGGCUCUGUCUGUCACUCCGUUGUUGUGAGGGUUGACCUGCUGAGCUGGCUGGCAAGGGAAGCAGCCUCCCCUUCCCUCACAGCUCCAUGUCCACCACAGCAGAGUUGAGCAACACGGGACUGUUCUCCUGGGAAGAGAUAAAGUAGACGCUCCUUGCCUAGAACCCCCAACACAUUCUCACAGUGCAGCUUUGCUUUGCUGGGGCGGUUUAGCCAGGUGAAUUAUUUGUUUUGAGAUAGGGUCUCUCUAUGUAGCCUAGGCUGUCCUAGAAC